UACGUAGGAGACUAGCGUUGUCCGGAAUCAUUGGGCGUAAAGAGCGUGUAGGCGGUCCGGUAAGUCCGCUGUGAAAGUCGGGGGCUCAACCCUCGAAUGCCGGUGGAUACUGUCGGGCUUGAGUACGGAAGAGGCGAGUGGAAUUCCUGGUGUAGCGGUGAAAUGCGCAGAUAUCAGGAGGAACACCAAUUGCGAAGGCAGCUCGCUGAGACGUUACUGACGCUGAGACGCGAAAGCGUGGGGAGCAAACAGG
rnacentral:rRNA from 1 species